UACGUAGGGCGCAAGCGUUGUCCGGAAUUAUUGGGCGUAAAGAGCUCGUAGGCGGCCUGUUGCGUCCGCUGUGAAAUCCCGGGGCUUAACCCCGGGCGUGCAGUGGUUACGGGCAGGCUGGAGGCAGGCAGGGGAGAACGGAAUUCCUGGUGUAGCGGUGGAAUGCGCAGAUAUCAGGAGGAACACCAGUGGCGAAGGCGGUUCUCUGGGCCUUACCUGACGCUGAGGAGCGAAAGCGUGGGGAGCAAACAGG
rnacentral:rRNA from 1 species